UUCACUUUUGUAAGGCGCGGAAGACAUUUUCCGACAGCCCCAAAAAAUCGGUAAUGGACAACAAUACCCCUUCGAUCAAUUUGAAAUUCAAAAAUACAUCUGGAUCGCCUCGUCCGAGCUCGUCUCCGCCCAGCUCGUCGUCCACCCACCUCGCCCAGAUCUCCCCUGCCCACCUCGCCCAGCUUCUCCUCCACCCACGAUCUCCUCCUAACCGCCUAGCUUCCUGCUCGUCCAGGCACCUCGCCGCCCAGCUUCCUGCUGGCCGCCGUUCCCAGGAGGACACCUCGCCGGCCGCCGGCCGACCGUUCCCAGGAGGACACCUCGCCGGCCGCUGUUCCCAGGAGGGCACCUCGCCGGCCGUCGGCCGCCGUUCCCAGGAGCACCUUGCCGGCAAGAUCAAGCUUGCCCAGUACCGCCUCCCUUCCUUCCCCGCGUC
rnacentral:lncRNA from 1 species